rnacentral:tRNA from 1 species
CGGGUUUAAUCCCGUCCUUAUCAUACGA